rnacentral:rRNA from 1 species
GGGUGAGUAACACGUGGAUAACCUACCUAUAAGACUGGAAUAACUUCGGGAAACCGGAGCUAAUACCGGAUAAUAUUUUGAACCGCAUGGUUCAAAAGUGAAAGACGGUCUUGCUGUCACUUAUAGAUGGAUCCGCGCUGCAUUAGCUAGUUGGUAAGGUAACGGCUUACCAAGGCAACGAUGCAUAGCCGACCUGAGAGGGUGAUCGGCCACACUGGAACUGAGACACGGUCCAG